rnacentral:lncRNA from 1 species
CAAGUUUUAUUUUUGUUUGUAGAAAUGGAAUAUUUAUAUUGCUUGUACGUUAUUAUUAUUUAAUUUCUAUAAAAUGGUAAUGUGUUGGGUACCCGAAUGGUUAUCAUUGAUAUUGAAAUCUGCUGAACGGACUAAAACUACUCAUUUUAUGUUAUUGCUACUUUUAUAAAGAAGAUAAAGAAAAUCUUCUCACCAUAUUUUCAAAUAGGACUGGUGAAGAUGCUGAAGAAAUGCAGUAGUACCAUCUUGUGUGUAAAUUCUUGAUUUUGUGUAAUUUAUAAAAUUGAAAGCAAUAUGAUAUGACUAACAAGGAUUGUGUCUUUAUAAAAAAAUAUAUCACAGGUACAAUUAUAAUGUAUUAUUGUCUUUUUUGAUAAUUAGAAAUGCGGUUACAACGUUGUUCCAGCAUAGCAUUCUAGUAUAGAUUUCCAUUUCAGCAUAUCAAGAAGGAUCACAAUUUAGUGAAAGUGAGCAUGGGAAUAACAACUACUGUAUAUUGAAAUAUUGUUUAAUAUUUAAUGUGCUAAGUAAUAUUCAGUUAGAAUAUUAUCAUGGAUCAUGGAUGGGUGAAAUAUCACAGUUUUAACAAAAAAAAA